GUGGGGUAAUGGCCUACCAAGGCUUUGACGGGUAGCCGGCCUGAGAGGGUGACCGGCCACACUGGGACUGAGACACGGCCCAGACUCCUACGGGAGGCAGCAGUGGGGAAUAUUGGACAAUGGGCGGAAGCCUGAUCCAGCAACGCCGCGUGAGGGAUGACGGCCUUCGGGUUGUAAACCUCUUUCACCAUUGACGAAGUCGCAUCUUUUUGGGUGUGGUGACGGUAGGUGGGGAAGAAGCACCGGCCAACUACGUGCCAGCAGCCGCGGUAAUACGUAGGGUGCGAGCGUUGUCCGGAAUUAUUGGGCGUAAAGGGCUCGUAGGCGGUUUGUCGCGUCGGGAGUGAAAACCUCGGGCUUAACUCGGGGCUUGCUUUCGAUACGGGCAGACUAGAGGUAUGCAGGGGAGAACGGAAUUCCUGGUGUAGCGGUGAAAUGCGCAGAUAUCAGGAGGAACACCGGUGGCGAAGGCGGUUCUCUGGGCAUGAUCUGACGCUGAGGAGCGAAAGUGUGGGGAGCGAACAGGAUUAGAUACCCUGGUAGUCCACACCGUAAACGUUGGGCGCUAGGUGUGGGGUCCAUUCCACGGGUUCCGUGCCGCAGCUAACGCAUUAAGCG
rnacentral:rRNA from 1 species